GAUGAACGCUGGCGGCGUGCCUAUCCAUGCAAGUCGCGCGCACAGACGAGGAGCUUGCUCCUCUGACGUUAGCGGCGGACGGGUGAGUAACACGUGGAUAACCUACCUAUAAGACUGGGAUAACUUCGGGAAACCGGAGCUAAUACCGGAUAAUAUAUUGAACCGCAUGGUUCAAUAGUGAAAGACGGUUUUGCUGUCACUUAUAGAUGGAUCCGCGCCGCAUUAGCUAGUUGGUAAGGUAACGGCUUACCAAGGCAACGAUGCGUAGCCGACCUGAGAGGGUGAUCGGCCACACUGGAACUGAGACACGGUCCAGACUCCUACGGGAGGCAGCAGUAGGGAAUCUUCCGCAAUGGGCGAAAGCCUGACGGAGCAACGCCGCGUGAGUGAUGAAGGUCUUCGGAUCGUAAAACUCUGUUAUUAGGGAAGAACAAAUGUGUAAGUAACUAUGCACGUCUUGACGGUACCUAAUCAGAAAGCCACGGCUAACUACGUG
rnacentral:rRNA from 1 species